rnacentral:rRNA from 1 species
GACGAACGCUGGCGGCGUGCUUAACACAUGCAAGUCGAACGGAAAGGCCCUGCUCUUGUGGGGUGCUCGAGUGGCGAACGGGUGAGUAACACGCGAGUAACCCGCCCUUGACUGUGGGAUAACUCCAGGAAACAGGGGCUAAUACCGGAUAGGAGCUCCUGCUGCAUGGUGGGGGCUGGAAAGUGUCGGCGGUGGGGGAUGGACUCGCGGCUUAUCAGCCUGUUGGUCGGGUAGUGGCUUACCAAGGCUAUGACGGGUAGCCGGCCUGGGAGGGUGACCGGCCACCUGGGCACUGAGAUACGACCCGGACUCCUUCGGGAGGCAGGAGUGAAGAAUCUUGCACAGAGGGCGGAGGCCUGAGGCAGCGACGCCGCGUGCGGGAGGUCGGCCUUCGGGUUGUAACCCGCUUUCGCCUGUAACGGAGCGUGGGUGACGGUAAUGGGUAAAGAAGCACCGGCUAACUACGU